UUACCGAAAUGAAAAACAGCAAAACUUAAAUGGGUGAAUUUUGGAAUUCAGCCUAAAAUCAAAUUAAAAUACAAUAAACUGUCUUCCCACCGCCUCCUGCAUAACAGUAAAAUAGUUAAUAGUUUUUAUUCUAAUUCUUUAUGUAUACACAACAUUCGAAAUUGAAAACCUAAACUUCAACGCCUGCAUAAAAUAAAGCUCAAAUUCUCAACGAAAAUGGCGAUCUUUCAAGCAAGGACCUGGCUUUCCAGAAGUUUUUCAACUCUCUCUUCCCAUCCAUUGCGCGUUUGUGUCGUUGGAAGUGGACCCGCUGGCUUCUACACCGCUGAAAAGAUGCUGAAGGCACAUCAAGAAGCGCAAGUUGAUAUCAUCGAUAGGUUGCCAACGCCGUUUGGACUAGUACGCUCCGGUGUAGCACCUGAUCAUCCUGAAACAAAGAUUGUCAUCAACCAGUUUUCUAGGGUUGCACGCCAUGACCGGUGCUCAUUUUUUGGAAAUGUGACGCUUGGGUCUUCAGUUUCCCUUUUGGAGCUUCGUGAGUUGUACCAUGUGGUUGUUCUUGCCUACGGUGCUGAAAGUGACAGAGCGCUUGGUAUUCCAGGAGAAGAUCUGGUUGGCAUUCAUUCAGCCAGAGAAUUUGUUUGGUGGUAUAAUGGGCACCCAGAUUGCAAAAACCUAGAUCUCGACUUGAAGAACACUGAUACAGCUGUCAUUCUUGGCCAGGGUAAUGUAGCUCUUGAUGUAGCACGUAUCCUUUUACGACCAGCAACAGAAUUGGCAACAACUGAUAUCGCAAGUCAUGCUUUGGCUGCUUUAGAGGAGAGCUCUAUCAGGAAGGUGUAUUUGGUUGGAAGACGUGGACCAGUCCAAGCAGCUUGUACUGCUAAAGAGCUACGUGAAGUUCUUGGUAUUAAAGAUCUUUGUAUUCAUUUACAGGAGGCUGAUCUUCUUAAAACCCCGAAAGAUGAGGAAGAGAUAAAGAACAAUCGAAUUCAGAGGAGGGUUUAUGAGUUGCUCUCUAAGGCAGCCACCACAGGACCUUCCCAUCCAAGAUCCGGUCAACGUGAACUCCACUUUGUUUUCUUCCGGAAACCAGAUAGAUUUCUAGAGUCAGAUGAAAGAAGAGGCCAUGUUUCUGGCGUGCACUUUGAGAAGACAGUUCUUAAAGAUGUUGGUGAUGGAAAACGUGUUGCAGUUGGUACUGGACAAUUUGAAGACCUUGAAUGCGGGAUGGUGCUAAAGAGCAUUGGUUACAAAUCAGUUCCAGUUGAUGGUUUACCCUUUGAUCAUCAGAAAGAGGUGGCUGGUGCUCUGGAAUUGUUAAAGGACUUUACAGGGUGGAUUUGUGAAAAAGCAUCAGAAAUGAUUGGACUAAAUUUGCUUCAUAUACACACUUUGAGGUGGGUGAUGGCAAGUGUAAAUAGCAAUUGAAUUUUCAGUUGCUUGAGUUAUUCGGAUUUACUAGAGAUACAAGGCCUUGAUUUUGGAUUAUAUGGAGUGGGUCAAAGGUCAGCAACAUUGGAAGCCAGUGUUUAUCAGAGAGGCUCAAGAUUGGAAGAGAGAAUCCUUGGCACAUGUCUUUGAUGAUUAAUAUGCAGUAGGUCACCUCCACAGGAGGUGAUAAGUUGGCGUGGCUUCCAUCACCAACAAAAGGAUUCCAGGUUAAAAGGUUUUAUAGAGAGAGCUCCAAGCAAGAAAUGCGUGGUUCCCAACAUCAGAGGUCGAGUUCUACAUGAUACUUCAGGAGAUCCAACUCUGCUUGAGGAGGGAUUGUAUGUAUGUGGAUGGUUGAAAAGAGGACCAACUGGGAUAAUUGCUACAAACCUCUAUUGUGCCGAGGAAACCGUUGUGAGUAUAUCUGAAGAUCUUAAUCUAUUGGCAUCAAAAGCCAGCUUGCCCAAGCCAGGCAGAGAGGGUCUGCUCCAUUUAUUAGAUAACCGGAAAGUCAAAUUCGUGCAGUUCAGUGCCUGGGAAAAGAUAGACUCUACAGAAACUAGGCUUGGGAGUCUUAAAAACAAACCCAGGGAAAAAUUAACUACAUGGGAGGAGCUACUCAAAGUUGCCAGGGAAUAAAUCAACACCCUUAUCGUAGGGAUUUUUUUUUCUUCUCUUGCUUGAAUAGCCUUGGCACCCCCCCACCCCCUUUUCUCUCUGUAUCACAGAAAAUAGAAUAAAGAAAAAAUUAUAGAGAAGAAAUUAUUAUUUUUCCUGUUGGAAUGCCCUGUUGAGCAUCAUGUUUGAGCCAUGAAUUCUUUUGGGCCAAAAAAAUUAUAGAGGGAUUCAUUCUUUUUACCUUCUCAUUUUGUUGCUGACUUAGGAAGUGCUGCUGUCGGUUAAACUGACCUAUUUGCAUGUCAACUGCAGCAUCACAUACACAAUCUAGAGAGAGUAGUUAGAAACUUAGAAUUACAUGAAGUCGUGAUGAAAUAAUAGAGAAAAUAAUGGCUGCUGGAAGAGUUGCGAUUAUGGAAUAAAACUCCCAGGUUUCUGUGUA